rnacentral:sRNA from 1 species
UCACCUCUCCCCCGGGGAGAGGUCGAAAUCGCGACCGCGAUUUCGGGUGAGGGG